ensembl:lncRNA
CUCACCAACUCAGUAAUGUCAACACAACUGCAAAAUGUUCACCGACCUCCGCUAAUGACCUCGUCCUUUGAAAGGCCAGGCGCGGAUGAUGAUGAUCGAACUACAGUAUCACUUUGGCGAAAUGAACCCUGGGAAUGAAAUCAGCCUCAGUGCCAGGGCGGAUCAUUAAGCUGUGGAAUCAAAGACGUCUCCAUCCGCUCCAGGUGCAGGUGGUUGGGAUGAUUGGACCAGAACAUGCCUCCACUGGAAAGCAACUUCUUCUGAGCUGACUAGAGUCUCCAAAAGCAAAAUUUCCCACAACAAGACCUUUGAUUCGCUGUCAUUUAAAGACACA